AACGAACGCUGGCGGCGCGCUUAACACAUGCAAGUCGAACGAGAAGGCGUAGCAAUACGCUUGUACAGUGGCGAACGGGUGAGUAAUACGUGGGCGACCUACCCUCGAGUGGGGAAUAACCCGCCGAAAGGCGGGCUAAUGCCGCGUACGCUUCCAUCUUUAUGGAGGUGGAAGGAAAGCCGUGCCGUGGGCACGGCGCUCAAGGAUGGGCUCACGUCCUAUCAGCUUGUUGGAGGGUAACGGCCUACCAAGGCUCCGACGGGUAGCUGGUCUGAGAGGACGAUCAGCCACACUGGCACUGCGACACGGGCCAGACUCCUACGAGAGGCAGCAGUGAGGAAUAUUGCGCAAUGGGCGAAAGCCUGACGCAGCGACGCCGCGUGGGGGA
rnacentral:rRNA from 1 species